GGUGUUAAAACCGGAGGAAGGUGGGGAUGACGUCAAGUCCUCAUGGCCUUUAUGCCCAGGGCUACACACGUGCUACAAUGGGUGGUACAAAGAGCAGCCAGCUCGCGAGAGUGAGCAAAUCUCAAAAAGCCAUCCUCAGUUCGGAUUGAAGUCUGCAACCCGACUUCAUGAAGUUGGAAUCGCUAGUAAUCGCGGAUCAGCAUGCCGCGGUGAAUAUGUUCCCGGGCCUU
rnacentral:rRNA from 1 species